CCUACGGGAGGCAGCAGUGAGGAAUAUUGGUCAAUGGACGAGAGUCUGAACCAGCCAAGUCGCGUGAAGGAUGACUGCCCUAUGGGUUGUAAACUUCUUUUAUAUGGGAAUAAAAUGUUCCACGUGUCGGAUGUUGUAUGUACCAUAUGAAUAAGGAUCGGCUAACUCCGUGCCAGCAGCCGCGGUAAUACGGAGGAUCCGAGCGUUAUCCGGAUUUAUUGGGUUUAAAGGGAGCGUAGGGGGGUUGUUAAGUCAGUUGUGAAAGUUUGCGGCUCAACCGUAGAAUUGCAGUUGAAACUGGCAGUCUUGAGUUGAGGAGAGGUAUGCGGAAUUCGUGGUGUAGCGGUGAAAUGCUUAGAUAUCACGAAGAACUCCGAUUGCGAAGGCAGCUCACUGGACUGCAACUGACACUGAGGCUCGAAAGUGUGGGUAUCAAACAGGAUUAGAUACCCUUGUAGUC
rnacentral:rRNA from 1 species